rnacentral:rRNA from 1 species
UACGUAGGGGGCAAGCGUUGUCCGGAAUCAUUGGGCGUAAAGCGCGUGUAGGCGGCUUGGUAAGUCCGUUCUGAAAGCCCGGGGCUCAACCCCGGGAGGCGGAUGGAUACUGUCAAGCUUGAGUCCGGAAGAGGCGAGUGGAAUUCCCGGUGUAGCAGUGAAAUGCGCAGAUAUCGGGAGGAACACCAAUGGCGAAGGCAGCUCGCUGGGACGUGACUGACGCUGAGACGCGAAAGCGUGGGGAGCAAACAGG